rnacentral:rRNA from 1 species
AUUGAACGCUGGCGGCAGGCUUAACACAUGCAAGUCGAGCGGAGAUGAGGUGCUUGCACCUUAUCUUAGCGGCGGACGGGUGAGUAAUGCUUAGGAAUCUGCCUAUUAGUGGGGGACAACAUUCCGAAAGGAAUGCUAAUACCGCAUACGUCCUACGGGAGAAAGCAGGGGAUCUUCGGACCUUGCGCUAAUAGAUGAGCCUAAGUCGGAUUAGCUAGUUGGUGGGGUAAAGGCCUACCAAGGCGACGAUCUGUAGCGGGUCUGGGAGGAUGAUCCGCCACACGGGGACUGAGACACGGCCCAGACUCCUACGGGAGGCAGCAGUGGGGAAUAUUGGACAAUGGGGGGAACCCUGAUCCAGCCAUGCCGCGUGUGUGAAGAAGGCCUUAUGGUUGUAAAGCACUUUAAGCGAGGAGGAGGCUACUGAGACUAAUACUCUUGGAUAGUGGACGUUACUCGCAGAAUAAGCACCGGCUAACUCUGUGCCAGCCGCCGCCGUAAGAC